UCAUCGCGCUUGGUUGAAAAGC
rnacentral:snRNA from 1 species